rnacentral:rRNA from 1 species
GACGAACCGUGCAAACGUUAUUCGGAAUCACUGGGCUUAAAGCGCGUGUAGGCGGGACGGCACGUCGGUCGCUGAAAUCCCCCGGCUCAACCGGGGAACGGGCGCCGAUACGACCGCCCUGGAGGGGCGUAGGGGGACCUGGAACUUCCGGUGGAGCGGUGAAAUGCGUUGAGAUCGGAAGGAACGCCCGUGGCGAAAGCGAGGUCCUGGACGCCUACUGACGCUGAGACGCGAAAGCCAGGGGAGCGAACGGG